CUGUAUUUUCCAAAGUACUGAACGGAUCUGGGUGAAUUUUGGAUAUGUGGUUCACCCAGAUCCCCCAGUUCCAAGGAUAUACUUUUUAUGGGGUUAUUGCAUGUUUUGGGGUCCCUGAGAUGUGUUUUAUGAAACUGUAUUUCUCUGGCUGUGAUAAUUAGAUUACCCAUUGUGUUCAGUAAUCCUAUCACAGCCAGAGGGGAGGAUUUUGUGUGGGAGUGUCUGGGUGUAUUGUAUGGAUUGAUUGGCUGUUUUGUAACGCCCUGUGGGCUGUACUAUGUUUGUGGAUUGGGAAUAAAAGAGACUGUAUGUGACAGUACAGGGAAUUCCUGUUUUAACCCUCAAAGUGAAGUGUCGUCUCAUUAUUGGGGGAAGGAUUUAUUGUAUGCUGUUCCAGUUUGACUGCUAGGAGAGUAAACCUAUUCGUAUGGUUCCUAUUCAACUGUCUACAGCAUUCACAUGCUUGAGAGGAUUCAUAUGCUUCUCCAGUUCGGUGGUUGUGGUGUCUGCUGCAGUGCUUGGAGACCUCAGGAAGCGCUAGGAGCAUCCUUUAACGGAGGUACCCAGUCGGGGUGCCAGGUGAUCCGUUACAUUGGUGGCAAGCGGUGGGAUGGCGUCCUAGUGCGAGGUAAAGCAGCUCAGAGACACAGUUUGUGGAUUUACAAAUUGAAGGCGACGCUAGUGUUCAUACAGCGUCCCUGUCUACAUAAAGAUUUGUGAAAACCAGCACUACUUCAGAGAUGGAAGGCCGUGCAGUAUCUCACUUUGACGCCAGGCUCCAGCAGCGACUACAGGAUGUGAUGCGCAGUAUGGAGUAUCCUAUCCCAGAGGAAAGAGAGACAGAGUGGAGGGUGGUGCUUCGUACCGAUCUCUGGAAGGAGGACAUCGACGAAAUUCGACCCUUCCGGUGCGAGGAAAUCCUGACCACUAACCAGCGCCAAGCAGAACAACUAGAGCUGCGGAUGCCAUUAUUGGGAAACCAGCCCUCAGAGGAAUGGGUAAGCGAACUGGAGAUGCUAGUUGAGACUGAGGUGUGGCUGGAUGAUUCCUAUCGGGCCCUGCGGUGGCAUGUUUACCACCUCAACCCGUGGCUGAUUGAGUACAAGUGUAUUGAGGGGGAAGACUACGAUGGCCCUGGUUUGUUGUGGGAUACUAUUGAAACUAGUCUCUGGUUCGGAGACACCGACAUUGCUCGCUUCUGGUCCAUCCGAGCUGAGCGGGCAGACAACAGGGACCUUAAAGAGAUCGAUGCCAUUCAGCCAGAUCUAUCUUUUCUUGCCAACCGAGAGUGGGAACUAGAACAGGAUUAUGUUUGCCUAUUCCAACGUAUAACGCCGCCUGUCUCUGACAUGAUGGGGCUUAUUGACUGUAUACCACCGGAAGCAUUGAGUUUAGUUCCUCCUCCCCAGCAACCAAGCCUGUUAUCAGGAGACCUUGGUACUGUACCACAUAUGUCCCAACCAGCCCCAGAGAUGGAAGACCUUAUUGACUUGUCCUGGGAAGACACCCAGCUGGCAGGUGGGGAUGGGACCGAGGUCUCUCUACAGGCCCUACAGGGAUGCUGGGUAGUCAGCCCAGAUCCCCAGCGGCAGUAUGUAUCCCAGGGAGCUGAAGGUGCUGUACUUCCUCCCCCAGCGGCAGUGUGUCCUGCAGGAAGCGGAGACAGUCGGUCUCGCUCCCCAGCAGCAGAGCAAUAUAUUAAAAGGGGAGACAGUUGGUCCCCCUCUCCAACAGCAGAGAGUGUUCCAGGGAGAGGAACCGGUUAUCACCUCUCCCCAGCAACAGGACAAAUUAUUGAAAGGGGAGACAGUCGGUCUCCCCCUCCAACAGCAAAGAGUGUGUCAGGGAGAGGAGCUUGUUAUCCCCUCUCCCCAGCGGCAGUGUGAGUCCCAGGGAGCCAAAGGUGUCGUCCUU
rnacentral:lncRNA from 1 species